rnacentral:snRNA from 1 species
GAAUGUGAGCACAAUCUGGCUGUGAUGACUGUCACCCCUUGAUAGGGCUGAUUCUGCUGAUCUGGCUGAGUAGGCAAGUGUCUCCUUCUUCCUUCCCUAGGCUGUGUGCACCCUCCAGAAGCUGCAUGCUAUGUCAUAUGUCAUAGAAGGUGACUUUCCCCAGUGAGUAGCGAUGUCCCUGCUAAAACCUUCAGACAAGCUCCCAAGGGAAUAGAGCACCAUGGAGCCCUAUGCUGUAUGG